rnacentral:lncRNA from 1 species
AGCACCGAACCACUAUACUUCUUGUUGUUUGCAUUGUGAUUUGUUUAAGUUCACUAACUCAUCAUUUAACACAAGUAAGAUAGUUAAAAUUAAAAGAAACCAAUUCACCCCCCCUCUUGGCUUGUCACCUUGGGCAACAAGUGGUAUCAGAGCAAGGUGCUCCAAUAGUACUCAUUGAUCUCACAAUCAAGAGUUAAAGAUCAUGACAACCCAAGUGGGAUGUUCU